rnacentral:lncRNA from 1 species
GGCAACAACCACAGCAACCCACACUUUUUUCUGUCAAAUUAAGCAUGCUGCAGAAGAAAAUUGUCAAAAAUGGCUGCCUAAGUUUGCCUAUAAAAUGAGAGCUUCGGCUCUCAUUUUGAUACACCAACAGAAAGAGAGAAAAAAGUAAGGUUUCACAGACAGGGUAUAAGAAAAUAGUCUGUGAAGAAAAUAGAGAGUGAGCGAUAUUGUAGUGAGGUGGAAUAUCAAAAGAGG